rnacentral:lncRNA from 1 species
UGCAGAACAAGGAGGAUGUGAUGGGUUCAGUUUGAAACUGUGUAGCCUAAGCAUGUGAAGGAAGCUGUACUCUUCCCCUGGGCAUAAAUGAAAGUAUACAGACAAAAGGAGAUGUCAAAUCGGAGCAUGGAACAGGCAAGAAAUGAACACUCAGCCACCGUCCAAAUAAGUCAGUCAGGACACAGUCAAGGGAUGUCGGAGCUGCUGUGGUCAGCGAGGGGACAAUAAAAAAGGAAGUAAGAGGAAGACCGCAUAUAGAGAAGUGAGACAAUACUCCUGACUUAGAGCAGAAAACCUGGAGAUCCCUUUCACUAUUGUGUUUCUAAAAGCCUUGAAGAAUUUCUGUCUCACUCCAAGUGCCGCUGGAUGCCAUAUAUGGACAUUUCUCCAAUCAUGAAAUUAUGGCCUACAGAAAUAAAAAUGACCUCUACAGAAAAAAAUGGCCUCUA